rnacentral:rRNA from 1 species
UCCUGGCUCAGGAUGAACGCUAGCUACAGGCUUAACACAUGCAAGUCGAGGGGCAGCAUGAACUUAGCUUGCUAAGUUUGAUGGCGACCGGCGCACGGGUGAGUAACACGUAUCCAACCUGCCGAUGACUCGGGGAUAGCCUUUCGAAAGAAAGAUUAAUACCCGAUGGCAUAGUUCUUCCGCAUGGUAGAACUAUUAAAGGAUUUCGGUCAUCGAUGGGGAUGCGUUCCAUUAGGUUGUUGGCGGGGUAACGGCCCACCAAGCCUUCGAUGGAUAGGGGUUCUGAGAGGAAGGUCCCCCACAUUGGAACUGAGACACGGUCCAAACUCCUACGGGAGGCAGCAGUGAGGAAUAUUGGUCAAUGGACGAGAGUCUGAACCAGCCAAGUAGCGUGAAGGAUGACUGCCCUAUGGGUUGUAAACUUCUUUUAUACGGGAAUAAAGUGAGGCACGUGUGCCUUUUUGUAUGUACCGUAUGAAUAAGGAUCGGCUAACUCCGUGCCAGCAGCCGCGGUAAUACGGAGGAUCCGAGCGUUAUCCGGAUUUAUUGGGUUUAAAGGGAGCGUAGGCGGACGCUUAAGUCAGUUGUGAAAGUUUGCGGCUCAACCGUAAAAUUGCAGUUGAUACUGGGUGUCUUGAGUACAGUAGAGGCAGGCGGAAUUCGUGGUGUAGCGGUGAAAUGCUUAGAUAUCACGAAGAACUCCGAUUGCGAAGGCAGCUUGCUGGACUGUAACUGACGCUGAUGCUCGAAAGUGUGGGUAUCAAACAGGAUUAGAUACCCUGGUAGUCCACACAGUAAACGAUGAAUACUCGCUGUUUGCGAUAUACAGUAAGCGGCCAAGCGAAAGCGUUAAGUAUUCCACCUGGGGAGUACGCCGGCAACGGU